GUCGCCUUUCACCCUUCAUUCUCUCACUCUCGAAAUUCCUUCGUUUUCUCACUCCCGAAGAUACCAUCCCUCGACUCCCCAUUGCCAAUUGAUCUCUUACACUCUCAAUCGUAGAUUAGCCGCUGCCCAUCAAAGAUUCGAAGUCAGUAAAUUACCCAAACCCAUGUCUUUGUUCUUUAAUCAAAUCUUUGAGAUUUUGUUACAGACAGGGAUGACGAAGGACACACAGGGCUCAAUGAAGCUGUUUAGCAAAUAUACUCUGUUUGGGGGACCUUUUGGAGUCCAUCCUCCAAUUUCUAGGUCAGAAAUGCAAUUUUAGGUAUACUAGAGGUUUGAGGUCUAUUGUGUUAAGUCUAUAUUAUCAAUAAAUGUAAAGUAUGAGGUAUUUAAAGAGUUUAGUACUCCAAUGUGACAUUUGAUGUAUCUAAUUAUUUUCUUGGAGGCUAAUAGAUGAGCAUGUAUGAUCUGAUCAGGUUUUAUGAUAAGAUUGAGAUUUUAGUUU